rnacentral:rRNA from 1 species
GAUGAACGCUGGCGGCGUGCUUAACACAUGCAAGUCGAACGGAGUACCCCUGAAGGAGUUUUCGGACAACGGAAGGGACUGCUUAGUGGCGGACGGGUGAGUAACGCGUGAGGAACCUGCCUUGGAGUGGGGAAUAACAGGUGGAAACAUCUGCUAAUACCGCAUGAUGCAGUUGAGUCGCAUGGCUCUGACUGCCAAAGAUUUAUCGCUCUGAGAUGGACUCGCGUCUGAUUAGCUGGUUGGCGGGGUAACGGCCCACCAAGGCGACGAUCAGUAGCCGGACUGAGAGGUUGGCCGGCCACAUUGGGACUGAGACACGGCCCAG